CAGCAUGUCAUUUUCCAACACUUUGAAAUCCUCAAAACGACGAGAAAACUCCCCGUUCAAAGCACGUGGCAGCGACGUAUACUUCUCCCGCUGGUCAUCUGAUAAGGAACAGACUAGUAGUGUCGGAAGGUCAUCUGAUAAGGAACAGACUAGUUGUGUCGGAAGGUCAUCUGAUAAGGAACAGACUAGUAGUGUCGGAAGGUCAUCUGAUAGGGAACAGACUAGUUGUGUCGGAAGGUCAUCUGAUAAGGAACAGACUAGUAGUGUCGGAAGGUGGGUGAGAUUGUUGUCAUCUGAUAAACAACAGACUAGUAGUGUCGGAAGGUGGGUGAAAUUGUUGUCAUCUGAUAAGGAACAGACUAGUUGUGUCGGAAGGUGGGUGAGAU
ensembl:lncRNA